rnacentral:rRNA from 1 species
UACGUAGGUGACAAGCGUUGUCCGGAUUUACUGGGCGUAAAAGAGCGCGCAGGCGGUCGAUCAAGUCGAGUGUGAAAGCCCCCGGCUCAACUGGGGAGGGUCAUUCGAUACUGAUCGACUCGAAGGCAGGAGAGGGUAGUGGAAUUCCCGGUGUAGUGGUGAAAUGCGUAGAUAUCGGGAGGAACACCAGUGGCGAAGGCGACUACCUGGCCUGUUCUUGACGCUGAGGCGCGAAAGCUAGGGGAGCAAACGGG